rnacentral:rRNA from 1 species
GACGAACGACUGGCGGCGUGCUUAACACAUGCAAGUCGAGCGGUAAGGCCCUUUCGGGGUACGACGAGCGGCGAACGGGUGAGUAACACGUGGGUGACCUGCCCUCCAGCUCUGGGAGUAAGCCUGGGAAACCGGGUCUAAUACUGGAUAUGACUCCAUGACGCAUGUUGUGGGGUGGAAAGCCUUGUGCGGCUGAGGAUGGGCCCGCGGCCUAUCAGCUUGUUGGUGGGGUGAGGCCUACCAAGGCGACGACGGGUAGCCGGCCUGAGAGGGCGACCGGCCACACUGGG